GACGAACGCUGGCGGCGUGCCUAAUACAUGCAAGUCGAGCGAAGCGGGGACGGGUGAGUAACACGUGGAAAACCUCCUUUACGUCCGGGUUAAAUUCGGGAAACCGUUGCUAAACCGGAUACUCAUGGAUGGAUCCGCGCUGCAUUAGCUAGUCGGUAAGGUAACGGCUAACCAAGGCAACGAUGCAUAGCCGACCUGAGAGGGUGAUCGGCCACACUGGAACUGAGACACGGUCCAGACUCCUACGGGAGGCAGCAGUAGGGAAUCUUCCGCAAUGGGCGAAAGCCUGACGGAGCAACGCCGCGUGAGUGAAGAAGGUCUUCGGAUCGUAAAACUCUGUUGUUAGGGAAGCGGUACCUAAUCAGAAAGCCACGGCUAACUACGUGCCAGCAGCCGCGGUAAUAC
rnacentral:rRNA from 1 species